rnacentral:rRNA from 1 species
UCAGACGAUGCGUCAUGCAUAUCAAUAAGCGGAGGAAAAGAAACUAACAAGGAUUCCCCUAGUAACGGCGAGUGAAGCGGGAAGAGCUCAAAUUUGAAAUCUUAAAGGGUUUCCCUUUACGAAUUGUAGUUUAAAGAAGUGUUUUCUGUUGAGGUUUUGGUAAAAGUUCUUUGGAAUAGGACAUCAUAGAGGGUGAGAAUCCCGUAUUUGACCUUUACUUUCAACUUUGUGAUACACUUUCAAAGAGUCGGAUUGUUUGGGAAUGCAGUCCAAAAUGGGUGGUAAAUUUCAUCUAAAGCUAAAUAUUGGCGAGAGACCGAUAGCGAACAAGUACCGUGAGGGAAAGAUGAAAAGAACUUUGAAAAGAGAGUUAAACAGUACGUGAAAUUGUCAAAAGGGAAGCGUUUGACACCAGUGUUGUUUUUCUGAAAAUCAAUUAAAGAACUGUUUAUGCUAAGUUGUUUAGACUUUAUCAGCUAUCUGUUUAGUUUUGAGCUUUUCUUUAAUGCACUUUUCAGUUAACAAGUCAACAUCAAUUUCUUUUGCUGUAAAAAAGCUUGAGGAAGGUGGCUUGAGAUUCGUCUUAAGUGUUUAUAGCCUCUUGCCUAUGCAGUCGGAGAGAUUGAGGUCUGCAGCGUAGAUCCUUCGGGGCUAAACGCAUUUGUGCUAAGUUAUAACAUUUUAUAGACAACUUGUUGACUAUGAUUUGUCUUGUAGCUUACUCGCUUAUGUUAUUUUACCUACGCUUAGGAUGUUGAAUCUGUGCGAGACUAC